AGUUAUAUCCCCUCACCAAUCGUCCUCUGCAAUCUCUGCAAUCUCUGCAACCAAUCUUUCUCCUUCAAGUAAUCAAAAUUAUCCAGCUUCAAGAACCUGUUUUUCAGCCGUGUGAACUUCACAAUCCAAAUUCAAUUCAAAGAGGUGAUAUCUCGCAAGGGAAUCGUGAUCGCAAAGGAAAGAAAAUAGUUUUGGAUUAAGCACUCGAGGUUGAGCGGCGACGAGGAUGUGGUGGUGUUGAGCAAGUGAACCUAAUAUGUUAUUGAUGUCUUUGAACCUUGAGUGUCGUUGUGUCGUCACACAUGACGUCACUCUUUCUCUUGGUCGUUUCCGCUGUGACGUGUCGUUAAAUUAUGAAUUAUUUGGGCCGACAACUUUAAUUGUUGGGCUAUUGGAUGUUCUGAAUUUCUUGUUGGAUAAUAUUAAACUCUUGCUUAUUCAUUUGGAUA